AUGACGAGACGAGGUCUAGUUAGAAGCCAUGGAGAGCCUGUGCCCGCCGCCGGCUUCCUGUACUGGGUGGGCGCGAGCACGGUGGCCUACGUGGUCCUGCGCGUCUUGUGCUCGCUCUUCACCGCCUUCCGGGUCUGGGGUGUGGGUCAUGAGGCCGGGGUCGGCCCGUGGCUCGGUGCCUGGGCAGUUGUCACAGGCAGUACUGAUGGAAUUGGAAAAUCAUAUGCCGAAGAGUUAGCAAAGCGUGGAAUGAAGAUUGUCUUAAUCAGCAGAUCACAGGAUAAACUGAACCAAGUUUCCAGUGAUAUAAAAGAAAAAUUCAAAGUGGAGACAAGGACCAUUGCUGUUGAUUUCAGUUCAGAAGAUAUUUAUGAUAAAAUUAAAACAGGCCUGACAGGUCUGGAAGUUGGUGUUCUAGUGAAUAACGUGGGAAUGUCAUAUGAGUAUCCUGAGUACUUUUUGGAUGUUCCUGACUUGGACAAUACUAUCAAGAAACUGAUAAAUACACAUAUUCUUUCUGUUUGUAAGGUGACCCGAUUGGUGCUGCCUGGCAUGGUAGAAAGAUCUAAAGGGGUGAUUCUGAAUAUCUCCUCUGCCAGUGGCAUGCUCCCAGUUCCCCUGUUGACCAUCUACUCUGCAACCAAGGCUUUUGUAGAUUUCUUCUCUCAGUGCCUCCAUGAGGAGUAUAAGAGCAAGGGCAUCUUUGUGCAGAGUGUCCUGCCAUACUUCAUAGCUACUAAACUGGCUAAAAUCCGAAAGCCAACCUUUGAUAAGCCUUCUCCAGACACAUUUGUGAAAUCUGCAAUUAAAACAGUAGGCUUGCAGUCCAGAACCACUGGGUACCUGAUCCACACUCUUAUGGGCUCAGUAAACUCAAUCCUGCCUCGUUGGAUGUAUUUUAAAAUAACGAUGGGUUUCAACAAGGCCGUACGAGCACGCUAUCUGAAGAAAACAAAGAAAAAUUGAGAGUGGUUUACUCUUGAGUCACCUGGCCAGAUGUUUUGGCCUUUAUAUAUUCACUGCAAGGUACCUGCCGGUCCCCAGAAUCUGCAUUUGUCUCAGUAAUUACUAACAUGGCUCACUUUUGGGGAAAAAAAAACAAGAUGCUUUUAGAGUUCCUGAUACAUACUAUGGCUUGUGAUUUCAAUGUUUAAUAUAAAUGCUUAUGCCAAAUGGAUAUAAAACUAAUAUUACCAAGAACGUAAUAAGAAGGGAUGAUAGAGUCAAAAGUGAAACUCAACAGUUUCACCUACUCAAUGCCAGUGAUUAUUAUUCUAGCAUUUUCUGUGAAACGCUAUAAAAAAUGUAACGGCUAGCUAUUCUUUUUUGUUUUUAAUACUUUUGGGGGAUGGGGGUUAACUGUUCUCAUACAGGGUAGACAUGUUGCAAUUUCCACAUUUUGGGGAUGUUUUCUAAAUGUAUGUUCCAGUCUAUACGUUUAUAUGGUAGUACUUUUUUCUGAAAACUAAUGACAUAGAAGUGAUU